GUAGGGAAUAUUGGACAAUGGGGGGAACCCUGAUCCAGCCAUGCCGCGUGUAGGAAGACUGCCCUCUGGGUUGUAAACUCCUUUUAUAUGGGAAGAACCGUCCUCAUUAAUGAGUGACCUGACGGUACCAUAGGAAUAAGCACCGGCUAACUCCGUGCCAGCAGCCGCGGUAAUACGGAGGGUGCAAGCGUUAUCCGGUUUCACUGGGUUUAAAGGGUGCGUAGGCGGAUAAAUAUGUUAGUGGUGAAAUCAACGGGCGCAACCUGUUAACUGCCAUUGAUACUGUGUAUCUUGAAUAUGAGAGAGGUAGGCGGAAUGUUGCAUGUAGCGGUGAAAUGCUUAGAUAUGCUACGGAACACCGAUUGCGAAGGCAGCUUACUAUUUCGUAAUUGACGCUGAGGCACGAAAGCGUGGGUAGCGAACAGGAUUAGAUACCCUAGUAGUCC
rnacentral:rRNA from 1 species